rnacentral:rRNA from 1 species
AAGUUUUAUUUAUGAUUUAAAGGUUAGUUGUAUUUUUUAAGAAAAAUAAUUUUUAAAUAAAUUGUAAUAGUAUUUUUUAGAGAAGUUAUAAAUUAAAUUUGACUGUAAAGGUUGAGUGAAAUAAAAAAAUAAAAAUUUUUAAUAAAGUAAAUUUGUAUUGUACCUUUUGUAUCAGGGCGUGUCAAAAUUAAUCAUUAAAAUAAUGGUUUCUCGAAUUAAAAAGAGCGAUAGUUUAUAGUUUUAUUAUGUAGAAAAAUAAUAAGUAAAUAAAUUAUAGGGAUGAAAAGUUAGUCGAUUUUUAAGAUUUCUAGUUGUUUAAUAAACAGAUUUAAUCUGGCUUUUUAUUGGUAGACUAAUUUGUAUAAAUAGUUAAAUAAAAAGUUAAAACUAAGAGGGAUAAGCUUUUUAGUUGGGGUAAAUUUAAUUUUGAUAAAAUAAAUAUAGGCUUGUAAAUGGCUAUUAUUUUUAAUAUGUAAUAAUUAAUUUUUUUAAUAUAAUAUUUAAAUUAAAUUACUUGGUUAUUAAAUAAUAAAAUAAAAUGUAAAAGUUUUAGUUAUAAUGAUAUGAUUAAUAAAAUUUGAAAAAUUUAAAUAAGGAACUCGGCAAAUAUAUAGUUUGACUGUUUAACAAAAACAUAGCCUUUUGGGGUUAUAGAAGGUAUAGCCUGCCCACUGACAGGUUGAAGGGCCGCGGUAUUUUGACCGUGCAAAGGUAGCAUAAUCAUUAGUCUUUUAAUUGGAGGCUGGUAUGAAGGGUUGCACAUAACUUAAGCUGUCUCAUUUAUAAACGUGAAUUUAACUUUUAGGUGAAAAGGCCUAAAUGAGGUAAGGGGACGAGAAGACCCUAUAGAGCUUUACCAACUGAUUAUUUAAGUCUUUAGGUGUAGUUAACUUAAGUAUUUAUUUGGUUACAUUGGGGUGAUGAGAAAAUAGGAAACUUUUCUUUUAAUAACAAUUAUUUUUGGUUGAAUGAUCCUUUAUUAUGGAUUAUAAGAUUAAGUUACCUUAGGGAUAACAGCGUAAUUCUUUUGGAGAGUCCUUAUCGAUAAAAGAGUUUGCGACCUCGAUGUUGGACUAAGAAUAGAUUUAGGGGCAGCCCCUUAAAAUUCUAGGUCUGUUCGACCUUUAAAAUCUUACAUGAUCUGAGUUCAGACCGGCGUGAGCCAGGUCGGUUUCUAUCUUUUAUUAUUAAAAUACUUUUUUAGUACGAAAGGACCAAAGAGUAGGGUUAAACUUUAAUACGGGAAUAGGAUUAAAAU